CCCCUCUCAGGGUCACACCUGGAGAGUUUCCAGUCCUCUACCAAUCUUGACUACAGGAGGGAGAGUCAAGCAGAAUGUACCCAUUCCAUUCCUAGCUUGGCCAGGGGCUAGCGAGUGGCAGGCAAUCCGCUACAAGU